UUUUAGCUGAAGAGAAGGCAACUGGCAAGCUCUUUGCGGUGAAGUGUAUCCCUAAGAAGGCGCUGAAGGGCAAGGAAAGCAGCAUAGAGAAUGAGAUAGCUGUCCUGAGAAAGUGGUCUACAGAUAGCAGGAAGUCCCUCACCGAUGACUUUUCCAACCCUGAGAAGAUGCGAACGACCUGAAGAAAGAAAGAUUCCUGAGCGACAGGAGCUCUAUUUGUAGGAUGACCUCAAGUCCGCGUUCUGGAUUCCUCCUCCCCGACCAGACUGGCUCUGCCUGCUGCGUCCUGCUGAGACACCAGUUGCGCAGUGCCUAAAGCCAGGAACCUGGGCCUCCUUCCAGGUCACCCCCCCCGCCCCCCACCCUGAC